UACAGGGGGGGGCAAGCGUUGUUCGGAAUUACUGGGCGUAAAGGGCUCGUAGGCGGCCAACUAAGUCCGACGUGAAAUCCCCAAGCUUAACCUGGGAACUGCAUCCGAUACUGGAUGGCUUGAAUCCGGGAGAGGGAUGCAGAAUUCCAGGUGUAGCGGUGAAAUGCGUAGAUAUCUGGAGGAAUACCGGUGGCGAAGGCGGCAUCCUGGACCGGCAUUGACGCUGAGUGAGCGAAAGCCAGGGGAGCAAACGGG
rnacentral:rRNA from 1 species